CACGAAGACAAGGCCACCCAUGCAAAGUGCUGCCUCCUUGCUGGCCCACAUCCUAUUUAUAGUGUCAGUCUGUGAAACAAAUGUUUUCAGCCGUACAUCUGCAAGUGUUUCUGGCAUCUUGGGGGCUUCCCACUCUGGCAGGGAUUACAGGGACACCGGAGCACACCAUCUGCCUAGGAAUGUGAGCAAACUGGCUGAGAACCGAGCCCUCAAGACCCAACAAGCCGCUGCAUUCUGAAGACAGGGAGUCAGUUCUCAGUUCUCUUUUUCUCGGGCAUUACAGGCUGCGUUUUCCUUCCUUGUGAACAUGAUACUGAAGGUCUGAUCUCAUCUCAGCUGAGUCUGCCACCCCCAGACUCCCUACCGCUUCUGCUAUCCCA